GACGAACGCUGGCGGCGUGCCUAAUACAUGCCAGUAGAACGCUGAAGAGAGGAGCCUGCUCUUCUUGGAUGAGUUGCGAACGAGUGAGUAACGCGUAGGUAACCUGCCUGGUAGCGGGGGAUAACUAUUGGAAACGAUAGCUAAUACCGCAUAAAAUUGAUUAUUGCAUGAUAAUUAAUUGAAAGAUGCAAUUGCAUCACUACCAGAUGGACCUGCGUUGUAUUAGCUAGUUGGUGAGGUAACGGCUCACCAAGGCGACGAUACAUAGCCGACCUGAGAGGGUGAUCGGCCACACUGGGACUGAGACACGGCCCAGACUCCUACGGGAGGCAGCAGUAGGGAAUCUUCGGCAAUGGGGGGAACCCUGACCGAGCAACGCCGCGUGAGUGAAGAAGGUCUUCGGAUCGUAAAGCUCUGUUGUAAGAGAAGAACGGGUGUGAGAGUGGAAAGUUCACACUGUGACGGUAUCUUACCAGAAAGGGACGGCUAACUACGUG
rnacentral:rRNA from 1 species